UACGGAGGGGGCUAGCGUUGUUCGGAAUUACUGGGCGUAAAGCGCGCGUAGGCGGCUUUGUAAGUUAGAGGUGAAAGCCCGGAGCUUAACUCCGGAACUGCAUUCGAUACUGCCGUGCUUGAGGACUGGAGAGGAGACUGGAAUUUACGGUGUAGCGGUGAAAUGCGUAGAUAUCGUAAGGAAGACCAGUGGCGAAGGCGGGUCUCUGGACAGUUCCUGACGCUGAGGCACGAAGGCCAGGGGAGCAAACGGG
rnacentral:rRNA from 1 species